rnacentral:tRNA from 1 species
UCCCGUGUGGCUCAGUUGGUAGAGCAUGGUGUUUGAAACGCCAGGGUUGUGUGUUCGAUUCUCAUGGGGG